UACGUAGGGUGCGAGCGUUGUCCGGAAUCAUUGGGCGUAAAGCGCGUGUAGGCGGCUCGAUAAGUCCGGUGUGAAACCUUGGGGCUCAACCCCAAGCCUGCACUGGAUACUGCCGAGCUAGAGUCCGGGAGGGGAGAGCGGAAUUCCUAGUGUAGCGGUGAAAUGCGCAGAUAUUAGGAAGAACACCGGUGGCGAAGGCGGCUCUCUGGAGCGGUACUGACGCUGAGACGCGAAAGCGUGGGGAGCGAACAGG
rnacentral:rRNA from 1 species